UUUUUCCUGCCACGUCGAAGCCCUACGUUCCUACGCGGGGUACUUAGUAGGCGGGGCGGGGAUUA
rnacentral:sRNA from 12 species